UACGGAGGGUGCGAGCGUUGUUCGGAUUUAUUGGGCGUAAAGCGCGUGUAGGCGGUCUUUCAAGUCUGAUGUGAAAGCCCUGGGCUCAACCCGGGAAGUGCAUUGGAAACUGGAAGACUUGAAUACGGGAGAGGGUAGUGGAAUUCCUGGUGUAGGAGUGAAAUCCGUAGAUAUCAGGAGGAACACCGGUGGCGAAGGCGGCUGCCUGGACCGAUAUUGACGCUGAGACGCGAAAGCGUGGGGAGCAAACAGG
rnacentral:rRNA from 1 species